rnacentral:rRNA from 1 species
AACUAACGCUGGCGGCGUGCCUAACACAUGCAAGUCGUACGAGAGAGUCCGCUUCGGUGGAUGAGUAAAGUGGCGCACGGGUGAGUAACGCGUGGAUAAUCUGCCCUUCAGCGGGGAAUAACUCAUCGAAAGGUGGGCUAAUACCCCAUAACACUGUUUUUGCCGCGGCAGGACAGUCAAAGACGGCCUCUGUUUACAAGCUGUCACUGAAGGAUGAGUCCGCGUACCAUUAGCUAGUUGGUAUGGUAAUGGCAUACCAAGGCUGCGAUGGUUAGCUGGUCUGAGAGGAUGAUCAGCCUCACUGGAACUGAGACACGGUCCAGACUCCUACGGGAGGCAGCAGUGAGGAAACUUGCGCAAUGGGGGCAACCCUGACGCAGCAACGCCGCGUGAGUGAGGAAGGUCUUCGGAUCGUAAAGCUCUGUCGGGUGGGAAGAAACGUAUGGAGGUUAAUAGCCUUUAUACUUGACGGUACCACCAAAGGAAGCACCGGCUAACUCCGUGCCAGCAGCCGCAGUAACAC